GCAUCUCACCUCCUGUUGUUAAUUACCUGGCAUAGUUCACAGAGCUGAUCAACUUUGCAUGGUGUGAGAGCCUGCCUUCAAUCUGGAUUCAAGCAGAGACCUGGAGAAAAAAGACGUGGAGUCUUAGCAGCACGAAUUUCCUGAUCCAGCCCGUAAAGCUCAGGUUCCUACAGUUCUUCCUCCAGUUUUCUGAGGCACCCCGCGUCUCUCCCAGCUGGAUGCUUGGCUAGCCCAGGGGCACGGCGCUGGUGCCACCUCUGGGCAGGGCCCGGGGAGGUCAGAGCUUCCUUGUUUAGGGGCCAGGUGCUUCCUGGGUAAAGAAACUUCUGUUGGAGGUAAGCACAGUUCUUUGCAAUUCUGUAGAUCAUAGAACUAUAUAAUUCUAUAAACCGAGACUGA
rnacentral:lncRNA from 1 species